UACGAAGGGGGCUAGCGUUGUUCGGAAUUACUGGGCGUAAAGGGCGCGUAGGCUGUGCUGUAAGUCAGGCGUGAAAUCCCCGGGCUCAACCUGGGAAUUGCGUUUGAUACUGCGGCGCUGGAAUGCAGGAGAGGAUGGCGGAAUUCCCAGUGUAGAGGUGAAAUUCGUAGAUAUUGGGAAGAACACCGGUGGCGAAGGCGGCCAUCUGGCCUGUAAUUGACGCUGAGGCGCGAAAGCGUGGGGAGCAGACAGG
rnacentral:rRNA from 1 species